rnacentral:lncRNA from 1 species
UGACUUGCUGAAAACUAGACCAAAAUUGAGAAAUGAACUUAGGGUUUCUGUUAAAAACCACUGUCACUAGAACUCAGUGUAACCUAACUAUCUCCUAUAUAUAUAUUCUUGUUAAUUUAUCUAAGGGAUCAUUCAUCUUAAUAACCAAGAAGUGAGAGUACUUGAAGAACUGGUCGACAAUUACCUAUAUAGUAUCAUGUCCUGAGCAUGCCUUAAGUAAUUCGUCACAAAAUCUAUUAUGAUAUG